rnacentral:rRNA from 1 species
UACAGAGGUCUCGAGCGUUGUUCGGAUUCAUUGGGCGUAAAGGGUGCGUAGGUGGCUAGGUAAGUCGGAUGUGAAAUCCCGGGGCUCAACCCCGAAACUGCAUUCGAUACUGCUUGGCUUGAGUACUGGAGAGGAGAUUGGAAUUUACGGUGUAGCAGUGAAAUGCGUAGAUAUCGUAAGGAAGACCAGUGGCGAAGGCGGAUCUCUGGACAGUUACUGACACUGAGGCACGAAGGCCAGGGGAGCAAACGGG